AUGAAGUGCACAAAAAUUAGUGAGGAACCCAGAAACAGACUACUGGAAUCUUUACUCUGGGCCAUUCUUGAUGCUCAGCCCCACCCCAGAUCUCCAACUGCCCAAUAGGACAUGAAGCUCAGAGAGGUUAAGUCACCCACGAUCACACAAUGAAUGACGGAGAUGGAAUUCAAGUCCAGAGACAGAUCAAAGCAUCUUAGUUGGUGAAGGAAAUGAUACCAUGAACUCCAGAAUACUGUCAUGACAGCUUUCAAAUCCAAUGAGA